AGUGAACGCUGGCGGUAGGCCUAACACAUGCAAGUCGAACGGCAGCACAGUAAGAGCUUGCUCUUACGGGUGGCGAGUGGCGGACGGGUGAGGAAUACAUCGGAAUCUACUUUUUCGUGGGGGAUAACGUAGGGAAACUUACGCUAAUACCGCAUACGACCUACGGGUGAAAGCAGGGGAUCUUCGGACCUUGCGCGAUUGAAUGAGCCGAUGUCGGAUUAGCUAGUUGGCGGGGUAAAGGCCCACCAAGGCGACGAUCCGUAGCUGGUCUGAGAGGAUGAUCAGCCACACUGGAACUGAGACACGGUCCAGACUCCUACGGGAGGCAGCAGUGGGGAAUAUGGGACAAUGGGCGCAAGCCUGAUCCAGCCAUACCGCGUGGGUGAAGAAGGCCUUCGGGUUGUAAAGCCCUUUUGUUGGGAAAGAAAAGUAGCAGGUUAAUACCCCGCUGUUCUGACGGUACCCAAAGAAUAAGCACCGGCUAACUUCGU
rnacentral:rRNA from 1 species